UUACGAUGAUCGAGGAAGGAGGCAAGAAGAGCAAGAAGAAGCUGCCCAAGAAAAAGUCACGCUACGAGCGCAUGGAGAACGGAGAGAUCACCUCCUUCAUCACGGAGGACGACAUCAUCUACCGGCCUGGAGACUGUGUGUACAUCGAGAGCCGCCGACCCAACACGCCCUACUUCAUCUGUAGCAUUCAGGAUUUUAAGCUGAGCAAACGGGACCAUCUGCUGAUGAAUGUGAAGUGGUACUACCGCCAGUCAGAGGUGCCCGACUCGGUCUACCAGCACCUGGUGCAGGACCGCAACAACGAGAACGACUCUGGUCGAGAUCUGGUCAUCACUGACCCCGUUGUCAAGAGCAGAGAGCUCUUCAUCUCAGACUAUGUGGACACGUACCAUGCUGCUGCCCUCAGGGGAAAGUGUAACAUCACCCACUUCUCCGACAUAUUCGCCGCCAGGGAAUUCAAAGCCCGCAUCGACUCCUUCUUCUAUAUCUUGGGAUACAACCCAGAGACAAGGCGGCUGAACAGCACACAAGGGGAGAUCCGAGUGGGUCCCAGCCACCAGGCCAAGCUCCCAGACCUGCAGCCCUUUCCCUCCCCUGGCGGCCAGUCCGUGACGGAGAAAGAGGAGCUGGUGUGGAUGCCAGGGGUCAACGACUGUGACCUGCUCAUGUACCUGAGGGCAGCCAGGAGCAUGGCAGCAUUUGCCGGGAUGUGUGACGGGGGUUCCACAGAGGACGGCUGCCUCGCUGCUUCCAGAGACGACACCACACUCAACGCGCUAAACACUCUGCACGAGAGUAGUUACGACGCUGGGAAGGCCCUGCAGCGGCUGGUCAAGAAGCCCGUGCCCAAACUCAUCGAGAAGUGUUGGUCAGAGGAUGAAGUGAAACGGUUCAUUAAAGGACUGAGACAGUACGGCAAAAACUUCUUCAGGAUUCGGAAAGACCUACUUCCCAACAAGGAAACGGGCGAGCUAAUCACAUUCUACUACUACUGGAAGAAGACGCCCGAGGCGGCCAGCUCGCGAGCCCACCGCCGCCACCGAAGACAGCCCGUCUUCCGCCGCAUCAAGACCCGCACCGCCUCCACGCCUGUCAACACUCCCUCACGCCCCCCCUCCAGCGAGUUUCUGGACCUGAGCUCCGCCAGCGAGGAUGACUUUGACAGCGAGGACAGCGAACAGGAGCUGAAGGGCUACGCCUGCCGCCACUGUUUCUCCACCACUUCUAAAGACUGGCACCACGGGGGCCGGGAGAACAUCUUACUGUGCACCGACUGCCGGAUCCACUUCAAGAAGUACGGCGAGCUACCACCCAUCGAAAAGCCCGUGGACCCGCCUCCGUUCAUGUUCAAACCCGUCAAAGAGGAAGAGGAUGGGCUCAGCGGCAAGCAUAGCAUGAGGACCCGACGCAACCGAGGCUCGAUGUCGACGCUACGAAGUGGCCGUAAGAAGCAGACAGCCAGCCCCGAUGGCAGAACCUCCCCCACCACCGAGGACCUGCGCUCCAGCGGACGCACCUCGCCGAGCGCCGCCAGCACCUCCAGCACAGACAGCAAGACCGACUCCAUGAAGAAACCCACCAAGAAAAUCAAGGAGGAAGCUCCAUCGCCCAUGAAGAGUGCCAAACGUCAGCGGGAAAAGGGCGCCUCGGACACCGAGGAGUCGGAGAGGGCGAGCGCCAAGAAGUCAAAGACUCAGGAGCUAAGUCGACCGGACUCGCCAUCGGAGUUCGAGGGAGAGGGUGAGGGCGAGAGCUCGGACGGACGCAGUGUGAACGACGAGGGCAGCAGUGACCCCAAGGACAUCGACCAGGACAACCGCAGCUCCUCGCCCAGCAUCCCGAGCCCGCGCGACAACGAGAGCGACUCGGACUCGUCGGCCCAGCAGCACCUGCAGGCCCAGCACCCGCCCGUCAUCCAGUGCCAGCCGGGCGCCAUGCCCUCCUCCGCCGCCCCCAACCCCCAGUCGUCCUCCGCCGUCUCGUCGUCCUCCUCUUCCUCGUCUUCGUCAUCCGCGGCGGCGACGGUCGCUCCCAACCCCCCGACGUCGGUCGCGCCCCCGGCCUUACCUCCGCAGGUGUCCCCUGCCGGGCCUCCGGUGCCCAUGCCGCCUCAGCCCCCCAUGCCCCCCACGACGGGCCCCCUCUCGCUCAUCCAGUCGGCCGGCGCGCCCUCGCUCCACCCGCAGCGGCUGCCCUCGCCUCACUCGCCGCUGCCCCAGAGUCUGCCUCAGGCGCCCGCGUCCUCUCAGACUGCCUCGCAGGCGCUGGCGCCGCCGCCUUUGCCCCCUCCGCUGCCGCCGCCGCCUCACCACGGCCCGAUGCCCCCCAUGGCCCACCCGCCCCACCCGCCGCACCUGCCCCCGCACGGGCACCCGGCGCACGGCAUGCCCCCGCAGCCCUUCCCGCUCUCGCAAGCUCAGGUGCCGCCCUCAGGGUCCCACCCGGGACAGCCUCAGCCCUCCGCACUGUCCCAGCGAGAACGGGAACGGGAACGCGAACGGGAACGAGAGAGGGACCGGGAACGGGAACGCGAACGGGAGAGAGACCGGGAUCGGGACCGGGAUCGGGAUCAGCAGCCGCCCUCCCACAUGCCCCCGACGUCGUGCCAGCCGUCGUCGCAGGGAGUGCCCCAGCCGCCCCGCGAGCAGCCGCUGCCCCCGGCGCCCAUCUCCAUGCCGCACAUCAAGCCGCCCCCCACCACGCCCAUCCCGCAGAUGCCCAGCGCCCCCUCCUCGCACAAGCACGCGCCUCACCUGCCCGCGCUGCCGCCGCCCUUCCCGCAGAUGCCCUCCAACCUGCCGCCGCCGCCGGCGCUCAAGCCGCUCAGCUCGCUGUCCAGCCACCACCCGCCCUCGGCGCACCCGCCCCCGCUGCAGCUCAUGCCCCAGGGCCAGCAGCUGCAGCUGCAGCCGCCGCCCGCCCAGCCGCCCGUGCUCACGCAGUCCCAGAGCCUGCCCGCCUCCGCCGGGCACGGGCCUCCGCAGCCUCCCCCUCUCCCUCCGUCCGCUGCCGCCGCCGCCGCUGCUGCCUCGCACGGGCUGCCCACUGUGUCGCCCUUCCCGCCUCACCCCUUCAUCCCCGGGGGCUCGGCCGUGCUGCCCCCUUCUUCGGUGGCGCCGCCGCUGCCGCUCCCCUCCGCCGCUGCCUCGAUGCCCGGUCUGCCGCCUGUGGCCUCGUCCAUCUCCAUGCCGUUGCCUGCCUCGGUUAGCGCCAGCUUGCCGGGGCCCUCCUCGGUGGCCAUGCCCGCCAUUCAGAUCAAGGAGGAGCCCAUGGAUGAAACCGAGGAGCCCGAGAGCCCGCCGCCUCCUCAGAGGAGUCCCUCGCCUGAGCCCACCAUCGUCAACACUCCCAGCCACGCCAGCCAGUCCGCAAGGUUCUACAAACAUCUGGAUCGGGGCUACAACACCUGCGCCAGGACCGACUUCUACUUCACCCCGCUGGCGUCGUCCAAGCUGGCGAAGAAGCGCGAGGACGCCCUGGAGAAGGCCAAGCGCGAGGCCGAGCAGAAGGCCCGCGAGGAGAAGGAGAAGGAGCGCGAGCGCGAGAAGGAGCGCGAGAGGGAGCGCGAGCGAGAAAAGGAGGCCGAGCGAGCUGCGAAAGCCUCCAGCUCGUCUCACGAGGGCCGGAUGAGCGAGCCGCCGAUGGCGGGCCCGGCCCACAUGCGGCCGUCCUUCGACGGCCCGCAGACCACCAUCGCGGCCGUGCCGCCGUACAUCGGGCCCGACACGCCGGCGCUGCGCACGCUCAGCGAGUACGCGCGGCCGCACGUCAUGUCGCCCACCAACCGCAACCACCCCUUCUUCAUGUCGCUCAACCCCAGCGACCCGCUGCUGGCCUACCACAUGCCGGGCCUGUACAACGCCGACCCGGGCCUGCGGGAGCGCGAGCUCCGGGAGCGGGAGAUGCGCGAGCGGGAGAUCCGCGAGCGGGAGAUGCGCGAGCGCAUGAAGCCCGGCUUCGAGGUCAAGCCGCCCGAGCUGGAGGGCCUGCACCCGUCGGCCAACCCCAUGGAGCACUUCGCGCGGCACGGCGCCGCCAUCACGCUGCCGCACAUGGCCGGCCCGCACCCGUUCGCCGCCUUCCACCCGGGCCUGAACCCGCUGGAGCGCGAGCGGCUGGCGCUGGCCGGCGCCGGCCCGCAGCUGCGGCCCGACAUGACCUACCCGGAGCGGCUGGCGGCCGAGCGGCUGGCGGCCGAGCGCAUGGCCUCGGUGGCCGCCAACGACCCCAUCGCCCGGCUGCAGAUGUUCAACGUCACGCCGCACCACCACCAGCACUCGCACAUCCACUCGCACCUUCACCUGCACCAGCAGGACCCGCUCCACCAAGGUGGUGGUGGUGAAUGUCUUGUGUGUCCCCCAGGUUCGGGGGCCCACCCGCUGGUCGACCCGCUCGCCGCCGGACCCCACCUGGCGCGCUUCCCCUACCCGCCCGGCGCCAUCCCCAACGCCCUGCUGGGACAGCCUCCGCACGAGCACGAGAUGCUGCGCCAUCCUGUGUUCGUGCGACACGGCUCUGCCCUGUGUAUCCCUCCAGGCACGCCGUACCCCGCCCGCGACCUGCCAGGAGGCCUGCCUCCGCACAUGUCGGCAGCGCACCAGCUUCAGGCCAUGCACGCACAGUCGGCAGAGCUCCAGAGGCUAGCCAUGGAACAGCAGUGGCUGCACGGACAUCCACACAUGCAUGGGGGCCCUCUGCCUGGCCAGGAGGACUACUACAGGUCAAUAGAGGGGAGGGGAUUUAGGUAACUCGGAGAUAUAGGGUGAACCCGUGAGCCCCAGGAAAGGCCGUAGGUUGCAGUGAUUUUUGAACAACUGAGGUGCCUUGUUUAGGCACGACACGAACCAACUGUUCUAAAAUCACUGGAACCUACUGCCUCGCGGGGCUUUUCACUGCAGCCAAUCAUAUUCAUGGACUGGAACUACCCAUUUUACAAUCAUCAAUUAGUAAGGGAAAAGAUAUGAAGUCUAGCGCUAGCCAUACAUUUCUGAGCCGGUUGAAGAAAGAAAGCGAUAAGCAGCUGUAACCAACUGAGGGGAGAGGCGAGGAGACGAGGUCGGCAGGACGUUGACACAGGAAGUUGUAACCGAACGCAGUCACGGAGAGGAACUCUACGGUGUUGUCCUUGGACCGUUUUUUUAAUGCUAUUUUAAGACAAAGAAAGAAAAAAAAAAGGAAAAGUACAGACACCGGUUUCCUUUUGCUGUUAUGGACGUUUAUUUUUUUGUUUUUGUUUUUGUUUUUUUCCCGUUUGGAAAAAAGGAACUGAGACUUUGGUAUAUAGCAUUCAAGUAGUAACAACGUCCUCAAGACUGAUUGUGACUUCCCUGCAUGGCAUCCAACUCCGAGAAGCUUCCCUGACCUGUUUUUUUUGUAGGUGCUAGAGAACAAGACACUUUUGUCACUGUGCUUAUGGAGAACGAGAGGAGAAAAAGAGACAAAAACAAGGAAAACUGAUGGGCCACUAUAUCUGAAAAAGUGCUAUCUUAAAUUCAAUGUUUAUUUUAAUACAUUGUAGAACGUUUUCACAAUUUUAAGAGAAAAAAAGCUGCAGCAUGGCAUUUUUUUUCUGAGUCUGUAAAUAGUAUAUAUACAUAUAAUUAUUAUUAUUAUUAUUAUUAUUAUUAUUAUUAUUAUUAGGUGUGGAUUCCUAACCAAGUUGUUAGACCCUUCCAGUAUAAUAGUUCUGAAGCAUUAUCCCUUGUUUCAGAGGGGAGCACGAUGGCUCUGUUUGAGUUACCUAAUAUGGUCGUAAGAGACAGGUAAGGUCCAUAAAAAGUUUGCUGGUACAGCAGUACCUCACAUGGAUCCAUCAUAUGCUUCACAUUCAGUCUGUCAUCGCUUUUUGAGAGCCAGCCGCAAAACAAGAAUGAAACACACAUGGAGGGGAAACAAAACACUUCAUUAUCAACACAAGCAGGACGGCUUUCCCCUGCUCCCUUUUAAUGUUGGAACUCGACAGGUGUUGAGUUGAAGAUUUGAGACACAAGAAGAGGAGGGGGAUGACCUGUGUCUUAAUUUGGACAUUAAGGAGAGAACCCACACACAAGACAUGAGCACAUAAACUCGCAUAACUCAAACAAAAAAAAAGAAACUCGAAAAUUGCACUAAAUUUUUAAGCACUCACUUUGACAUUUUCACAUCUAAUUGACACUGUUGCAAAUCAGAAAAAGUAAUGUGGAUGCAUCGUUUUAAAAGUGUGAAUCCGUUCCAUAUUGUAAUUGCAAUUCCUUUUUAACUUGUAAAAUAAACAAUAUUAGUAUCUUGCACAAAGCAUGCAGUAGCGCUACAAUGGCCCUACUGUCAUCUCGACUUCAGUUCUUUGAGGAGUGGUUUUCAACGCUUCCGUUUUAAGACUUGAUUGGUGCUUAAUUUGAACAGUAAAGUGCUCUGUCCCUGCAUACAUAUCCCACAAUGCUCUCCUCUCCUCUCCCUGCAAAAAAAAAUGCAAACAAUCCCAGGGCUCCUCCUUCACUUAACCUCCAGCUUCACUGUAACAACUCAAGGUACCAUACUCACUGUGAUGCCACCCAAGGCAAGUUCCUGAAGGUUAAGUGCUCGGACCAGAGUAUGUGUCUGUUUUGAGAGAGAAGAUAGCAAGUGAGAAUAGCGCAUGUGUUUACAAGAGAGGGGAAAUACAUGCUCCCAGUCCAGGUCCUGUCUGCAUUCCUUUACAACAACUACUGUGUCACAACUAGCCUGCCCUAUGUACCUCCUCAACAGUCGUGGCUGGGUUGGUAAAAAUGGUCAGGGUGGAUUGUGUACUCACCUCUGUUUGACUGUUACAUGCAGUAUUUUACACGGUCAUUUCUACCACGUCACCUCAAGUUCAUCAUCUGUUGUCCACCAUUGACAUCUUCCCCAGAUAUAUUUAUAUGCAUCUUGCACUUAAAAAUCAAACCUCUGAGAUCUCUGAACUGGUCUAAACACUCACAUCAUGGGGCUUUUCACAGCCUCAGUUGUCGGCAGCGGGUAGUAUUUUGAAGGCAUGCUUUUCGGGAGUGACACCAGCCGAGUUUAAUUUUGAAAUGUGCAGCUUUUUUGACCUAUUUUUCCCCUGGAUGUGGGUCUGAAUCCACACUGGGCUUUUUAUGAGAAUGAAACACUCUAGCCAUUGACCUGUCUCUGUCUGUGUGGUGUACUGAGCAUUUGAUUUCUCUCUCUCUCUCUCUGUCUCUCUCUCUCUAUUUCUCUCACUCUCUCUCUCUGCUUUAUUUUUACCAGCAGUCUCCCUGCCCCUCUGUUCCUCUUUUGUGUCUCAAACCUUUGAUGUUAAGUGUUGUCAACGGUUUAGCUUCUCGUUUUAAAAGCGGCAAUAGCAGAAUGUAAAUUCUGACUGCUAAGAUUUAUAUAUAUACUGGUAUCUUGAAGCUUAUUGUACAUAUUAGUAGUCGCCAUGGGAUGACACAAUGUAAACAAAAAGUAGAAAUAAUUAAGACAAAUUGUGAGUCCUGUGUUCUCUCCAUUUGAGUAUUUUGUAAUUUUUUUGAAAAAUUUGUGGAAUUAAAAUAAAAACUAAGUUACACCACAA